rnacentral:lncRNA from 1 species
CAUUAAGUUCUGCUCGUGCAUCAGCUGUGGUUGCUGCUCACAAUCGAUAUCUUUCCACAUCUACAAAUAUCAAACAAGAAUUACAAAUUGCAACUCAAUACAUUCAUGAGAAGGACAAUCUUCAUGAAUCGAGUAUUUCUGUUGAGCCUGAUCCCGAUGAUAGCAACCUCAAAUAUGAAUCUGAUCCUGGUAGCAUCAUGGUGAAAUAUGAACCUGAUCCUGAUGACAGCAUCACAAAAGAUGAACCUGAUCCUGAUGACAGCAUCAUGAAAGUUGAACCUGAUCCUUAUGACAGCAUCAUGAAAGAUGAGCCUGAACCUGAUGACAGCAUUGUGAAAGAUGAACCUGAUCCUGAUGACAGGAUUACGAAAGAUAAACCCGAAUCUGAUGAUAGCAUCAUGAAAGAUGAUCCUGAUGACAGUAUUACAAAAGAUGGACCAGAUCCUGACACCAUCAUAAAAGAUGAACCUGAUCUUGAUAAAAGUAUUGCGAAAGAUGAACCCGAUCCUGAUGACAACAUCUUGAAAGAUGAACCUGAUCCUGAUCCUGAUGAAAGUAUCACGAAAGAUGAACCCGAUCCUCGUGAAUCUAUCACGAAAGAUGAACCCGAUCCUCGUGAAUCUUUGGGGAAAAUGGUAGAUUAUCUUAAGCAUGGAAGCUAUAAUGCUGAAACUAUCCGUGGUAAAUCGCUUCUAACAGUGGACGAUGUUAUGCAUGUUGAUUAUUAUGCACAUUCCGAAUCAUUGUCUUAUCCAAAAGAAGUUCAAAGUAAGACAAAUGAUUUUGUUAGUGAUGAAACUGGAUUUUCUUCAAAAGAACUUGAUUUUGAUGAGUAUGAUAGUUCAAAAAAGAUGAAUAUUGAUGAAUUACAAACAUAUGAGAUUCCUGAUUCAGAUGAUGUCAAACCUGGAGCAAUUGAGCAUAAUUGCAGCAUGAAUCUCUCCGAAAAUGAUGAACU